rnacentral:rRNA from 1 species
UACGUAGGGACCAAGCGUUGUCCGGAUUCAUUGGGCGUAAAGAGCGUGUAGGCGGCCACUUAAGUCCUGCGUGAAAUCUCGGGGCUCAACCCCGAGCGGUCGUGGGAAACUGGGUGGCUAGAGUGCGGGAGAGGAGAGUGGAAUUCCUGGUGUAGCGGUGGAAUGCGCAGAUAUCGGGAGGAACACCAGUGGCGAAGGCGAUCACCUGGGGUUGUUCUGACGCUGAGGAGCGAAAGCUAGGGGAGCAAACGGG